CCUACGGGAGGCAGCAGUGAGGAAUAUUGGUCAAUGGACGAGAGACUGAACCAGCCAAGCAGCGUGAAGGAUGACUGUACAAAGGGUCGUAAACCUCUUUUAUCAAGGAAUAAAACGAGGCACGCGUGCCUUUUUGAAUGUACUUUAUGAAUAAGGAUCGGCUAACUCCGUGCCAGCAGCCGCGGUAAUACGGAGGAUCCGAGCGUUAUCCGGAUUUAUUGGGUUUAAAGGGAGCGUAGAUGGGUUGUUAAGUCAGUUGUUAAAGGUUGCGGCUCAACCGUAAAAUUGCAAUUGAAACUGGCAGUCUUGAGUACAGUUGAGGUAGGCGGAAUGCGUGGUGUAGCGGUGAAAUGCUUAGAUAUCGCGAAGAACCCCGAUUGCGAAGGCAGCUUACUAACCUGUGACUGACAUUGAGGCUCGAAAGUGUGGGUAUCGAACAGGAUUAGAUACCCGAGUAGUC
rnacentral:rRNA from 1 species